CAAAAAGUAAGUAAGGGCACAUGGCGGAUGCCUUGGCUCUCGGAGGCGAUGAAGGACGUGAUAAGCUGCGAUAAGCUGCGGGUAGGUGCAAAUGACCUUUGAUCCGCGGAUUUCCGAAUGGGACAACCCGGUACUUUGAAGAAGUAUCAUCCUGCAUUGCAGGAGGCUAACGCAGGGAACUGAAACAUCUUAGUACCUGCAGGAAAAGAAAAUAAACAAUGAUUCCCCCAGUAGUGGCGAGCGAACGGGGAAUAGCCCAAACCAUCCAUGUUACGGCAUGGGUGGGGUUGUAGGACCACGCCGUGGCAAGAAAGUUGGUGAGCAGAAUGUUCUGGAAAGUACAGCCAUAGAGCAUGAGAGCUGCGUAUGCGAAGCCAAGCGAAGCCUAGUGGUAUCCUGAGUAGCGCGGAGCACGAGGAAUUCUGCGUGAAUCUGCCGGGACCAUCCGGUAAGGCUAAAUACUCCCGAGAGACCGAUAGUGAACCAGUACUGUGAAGGAAAGGUGAAAAGCACUUCGAACAGAAGAGUGAAAUAGUUCCUGAAACCAUGUGCCUACAAGCGGUCGGAGCACCUUUUGGUGUGACGGCGUGCCUUUUGCAUAAUGAACCUACGAGUUACUUUUUCCGGCGAGGUUAAGGAUUUCAGAUCUGCAGCCGAAGCGAAAGCGAGGCUGAACAGGGCGUAUAGUCGGAAGGAGUAGACGCGAAACCAAGUGAUCUACCCUUGGGCAGGUUGAAGGAUGGGUAACACCAUCUGGAGGACCGAACCAAUAAGCGUUGAAAAGCUUCUGGAUGACCUGAGGGUGGGGGUGAAAGGCUAAUCAAACUUGGAGAUAGCUCGUACUUCCCGAAAUGCAUUUAGGUGCAGCCUUGACUUAUACUGGCAUGAGGUAGAGCGACUGAUAAGAUGCGAGGGCUUCACCGCCUAUCAAGUCUUGACAAACUCCGAAUGCGUGUCAGUUCUAUGUCAGGAGUGAGGGCAUGGGUGCUAAGGUCCAUGUCCUAAAGGAGAACAAUCCGGACCAACAGCUAAGGUCCCGAAAUGAAUACUAAGUUGAACUAACGAAGUCAGAUUGCUAAGACAGCUAGGAUGUUGGCUUGGAAGCAGCCAUUCAUUUAAAGAGUGCGUAACAGCUCACUAGUCGAGGAGUUUGGCGUGGAUAAUAAUCGGGCAU
rnacentral:rRNA from 1 species